AUGGGUUUGCAUAUGAGAGCAAUUAUCUUCUCUUUUUUAAACACACCAGAAUCAAUGGGGGAAAAAAAAAUAGAGGACUAAAAAUCUACUUAAGGAAUAGAAAUAGAACUAACUGCCCUUUGUUCUUAAAAAUUAAUAAGCUUUUCUCUGUUUAUUUUUAUCACAAUAAUAAAUUGCAUCUGUUACUAUGAAAAAGGCUGCUACUACCCAAUUAUCUAAAAUUCUGUGUUUUCUUUUUUUUUUCUUCUUCUUCUUCUUCAAACAGUGCUGUAUAAAAAUCAGUGCAUUCAAAUAAAAGGAAUGUUUGGGAACCCUGGGGAGAUGGAGCUGUCAGCCAGCUGAGGCAGGCCCUGUCUAGAGAACGGAUUAAUUCUGUCUCUUUUAUCUUGGCAGACUUUUUCUCAGGCUCUUUCCUAUCACAGGUGACUGAGGAUAUCAGCUAGAUAGCACACCUACAGACUCCGCCCUUCCCCAGGGCCUGAGUGAACAGAAGCUGGGAUGAUGGAGGACGGGCUACUGGCUGAUGGGAAAGGCAAAGAAUCACUGAGCUUGGACCAAGAGAUCCUUGGAAAGCUGGGGUGGGGAUGGCUUCAAAUCCCCCAUCAAUUCGCUCUUCCAAAAACACUGAUAUUUGGAUGUUGUACUGGCUGGUUUUGUGUGUCAACUUGACACAAGCUGGAGUUAUCACAGAGAAAGGAGCUUCAGGUGAGGAAAUGCCUCCAUGAGAUCCAGCUGUCAGGCAGUUUCUCAAUUAGUGAUCAAGGGUGGGAGGGCCCAUUGUGGGUGGUGCCAUCCCUAGGCUGGUGGUCCUGGGUUCUAUAACAAAGAAAGCUGAACAAACUAGGGGAAGCAAGCCAGUAAUGUAGCACCCUCCAUGUCCUCUGCAUCAGCUUCUGCCUCCAGGUUCCUGCCCCAUGUGAGUUC
rnacentral:lncRNA from 1 species